GCCGGGGUCGCCUAACUGGUAUGGCACCGGUCUCGAGAACCGGUGGGCUUUAACGCCCUUGUGGGUUCGAAUCCCACCCCCGGCG
rnacentral:tRNA from 1 species